UACGUAGGGUGCGAGCGUUGUCCGGAAUUAUUGGGCGUAAAGAGCUUGUAGGCGGUUUGUCGCGUCUGCUGUGAAAAUCCGGGGCUCAACCCCGGACUUGCAGUGGGUACGGGCAGACUGGAGUGUGGUAGGGGAGACUGGAAUUCCUGGUGUAGCGGUGGAAUGCGCAGAUAUCAGGAGGAACACCGAUGGCGAAGGCAGGUCUCUGGGCAUGUCCUGACGCUGAGGAGCGAAAGUGUGGGAGGCGAACAGG
rnacentral:rRNA from 1 species